rnacentral:rRNA from 1 species
AUUGAACGCUGGCGGCAGGCUUAACACAUGCAAGUCGAGCGGGGGAAGGUAGCUUGCUACCGGACCUAGCGGCGGACGGGUGAGUAAUGCUUAGGAAUCUGCCUAUUAGUGGGGGACAACAUCUCGAAAGGGAUGCUAAUACCGCAUACGUCCUAUGGGAGAAAGCAGGGGAUCUUCGGACCUCGCGCUAAUAGAUGAGCCUAAGUCGGAUUAGCUAGUUGGUGGGGUAAAGGCCUACCAAGGCGACGAUCUGUAGCGGGUCUGAGAGGAUGAUCCGCCACACUGGGACUGAGACACGGCCCAGACUCCUACGGGAGGCAGCAGUGGGGAAUAUUGGACAAUGGGGGGAACCCUGAUCCAGCCAUGCCGCGUGUGUGAAGAAGGCCUUAUGGUUGUAAAGCACUUUAAGCGAGGAGGAGGCUACUUUAGUUAAUACCUAGAGAUAGUGGACGUUACUCGCAGAAUAAGCACCGGCUAACUCUGUGCCAGCCGCCGCCGUAA